ensembl:rRNA 5S_rRNA 5S ribosomal RNA
GCUUACGGCCACACCGCCUGGUUCACGCCCGAUCUCGUUUGAUCUCGGAAGCUAAGAUAGGUUGGGCCUGGUUAGUACUUGGAUGGGAGACCGCCUAGGGAUACCAGGUGCUGUAAGGC